CUUGAUUCAUCAGGCCAGGCAACCUUCUUCCAUUGCUCCAUGGUCCAGUUCUGACACUCACAUCCCAAUUGAAGGCACUUCUGGAAGUGGACAGAGGUCAUCAUGGGCACUCUGACCCCAUACACAGCAAACUACAAUGCACUCUGUGCUCUGACUCCUUUCUAUCAUGGCAAGCAUUUUGUUUGUCCAUCAAUUUGAGUUACAGUAG